ACCUCGAGUGCCAGGUUACAAAUCUGGCUGUCGAGAUGCCUAAAAAGCAUUUCAUAGCAAGGGCCGGGCAAGACCGGUGCCAGCCGCCGCGGUAACACCGGCGGCUCGAGUGGUAACCGUUAUUAUUGGGUCUAAAGGGUCUGUAGCCGGCCGGAUAAGUCUCUUGAGAAAUCUGGCAGCUUAACUGUCAGGCUUUCAGGAGAUACUGUCUGGCUCGAGGCCGGGAGAGGUGAGAGGUACUUCAGGGGUAGGGGUGAAAUCUUGUAAUCCUUGAAGGACCACCAGUGGCGAAGGCGUCUCACCAGAACGGACCUGACGGCAAGGGACGAAAGCUAGGGGCACGAACCGGAUUAGAUACCCGGGUAGUCCUAGCCGUAAACGAUACUCGCUAGGUGUCGGCCACGGUGCGACCGUUUGUCGGUGCCGUAGGGAAGCCGUGAAGCGA
rnacentral:rRNA from 1 species